UGUAUGUAUGUACGUUGAUUUGUAUACAGCUAAACUUUUCGUGUUUAAGGUUUUGUAUUUCAUUUACGACAUUAUACCUGAUAAUCAAAUAAAUACAGUAAACGCGUUACAUUUUCGUCUUCGUGACACGUCACUGGUACACUUGUAAUCGUCGUGAAUAAUGAUCAAUGAUAAUGGAAUCAAAAGAAAUCAAUGGAAAUUAUCAAUGAUAAAACUUAAUUCGAACAUCAAUGUAAGAUUAUUUCAGUUGGGUACACGGAAAAUACUCAAUCAUAGUAGAUACAAUGUCAAGUUCACUAUCAUCUGUGGAUGUAGAUGGUGCUGGAGGGAUUUUAACUUCACCUAAUACAGUAUUAUCUGGUAUAAUUGUAUCUACUACUGGAAUACAAAAUUCGUUUGAAUCUACA